rnacentral:pre_miRNA from 1 species
GAUCCCCCGGGAGUUCCCGACAAGCACUUCACGACACACUAAUUUAAGAGUUGUUGUGAAGUGUUUGGGGGAACUCUUGGUGUCAC